UUUAUCGGAGAGUUUGAUCCUGGCUCAGGACGAACGCUGGCGGCGUGCCUAAUACAUGCAAGUCGAGCGGACAGAUGGGAGCUUGCUCCCUGAUGUUAGCGGCGGACGGGUGAGUAACACGUGGGUAACCUGCCUGUAAGACUGGGAUAACUCCGGGAAACCGGGGCUAAUACCGGAUGGUUGUUUGAACCGCAUGGUUCAGACAUAAAAGGUGGCUUCGGCUACCACUUACAGAUGGACCCG
rnacentral:rRNA from 1 species